UUGCGGCGGCCAUGGCCCAGGUGAGACGCCCGGUCCCAUUCCGAACCCGGAAGCUAAGGCCUGGCACGGCGAUGGUACUGCACCCGACAGGGUGUGGGAGAGUAGCACGCCGCCGC
rnacentral:rRNA from 1 species